UUUCUCUAUAGCCCAUCUCGGCCCGGCAGAUUCAGCGUCAAAAUGAGCCGAUACGUAUCUCACCAAAUUCGUCGGAUACCAAUCUGCCUCUAUUGAUAUAUCCAAAAUAAAAAUUUUAUUUCCUUCCUACCCUUUUCUCCCAACGCUCUUUCAAUCCUUCAUCUCUUUCAAUCUCAGAAUAUACUUCUUCCAACACUCUUCAAGCAAAUGGCUGACAUCUGCAAAAUAAUCAUCCGAGACAUAGUGCUAGGGCGUGAUGACACGAUGUUGAUGCCGGAUUGCAGAUGUGGAAAGGAAAUGUCAGUUUAGUGUGUGGGCAAGGAUGCGCAACCAUGGUGCAAUGGCUAGUAUGUUUAUUUUAUUUAGAUUUGUAAUUGAUAGACUUGUGUAAAAACAAAAUGGAACUAAUAUGUGGAGUAGUAGUUUGUGUGGAUAUUUCACUUUCUAGAGUGAGAUAUCAGUGUUAUUAUUUCUCAAGUUUUGGUUUAUGAUGGUGAACAUGCUGAACAUGUUGUGUAUGUUUUGUUAGUUAUCUGCUAAACUGCUACACAUUUGCUGACUGAAUCAAAGAUUUUUUGGAGUCUA